rnacentral:rRNA from 1 species
CUACGGGGCGCUCCAGUGGGGAAUAUUGCACAAUGGGCGCAAGCCUGAUGCAGCCAUGCCGCGUGUAUGAAGAAGGCCUUCGGGUUGUAAAGUACUUUCAGCGGGGAGGAAGGGAGUAAAGUUAAUACCUUUGCUCAUUGACGUUACCCGCAGAAGAAGCACCGGCUAGAGCUCCGUGCCAGCAGCCGCGGUAAUACGGAGGGUGCAAGCGUUAAUCGGAAUUACUGGGCGUAAAGCGCACGCAGGCGGUUUGUUAAGUCAGAUGUGAAAUCCCCGGGCUCAACCUGGGAACUGCAUCUGAUACUGGCAAGCUUGAGUCUCGUAGAGGGGGGUAGAAUUCCAGGUGUAGCGGUGAAAUGCGUAGAGAUCUGGAGGAAUACCGGUGGCGAAGGCGGCCCCCUGGACGAAGACUGACGCUCAGGUGCGAAAGCGUGGGGAGCAAACAGGAUUAGAUACCCCCGUAGUC